rnacentral:rRNA from 1 species
UACGUAGGGUGCGAGCGUUAAUCGGAUUUACUGGGCGUAAAGGGUGCGUAGGCGGCCGCGUGUGUCUGGCGUCAAAUCCCACGGCUUAACCGUGGGAAUGCGCUGGAAACUACGUGGCUUGGGUGCGGCAGAGGCAGACGGAACUGCUGGUGUAGGGGUGAAAUCCGUAGAUAUCAGCAGGAACGCCGGUGGAGAAGUCGGCGUGCUGGGCCGUAACAGACGCUGAGGCACGAAAGCUAGGGGAGCGAACCGG